CAGCAUUUGUUUUCAUGACAAAGGGAAACAUUUGUUUCAAGAAAAUUAACCCACUCAGCUCCGGGGUUUGCUUUAAGCAAGCGAUUCACACACCACUGACAGGUAAAGAGUUAAUAGCAACCAAUAGUAUACUCAUUGUACCCAAAGCUGGGAAAGUGGCAGUGUGAAUUAAAUAUUUUCAGGAUCCCCAUUUGUUAAAUGAUGCCUAUCAUAUCUAUACACAUCCUGCUAAUUUGCAUUUUAAUAAUAACCAUGAAUUUUGUGGGGUUUUUUUUUCUUUCUUUUUUUCUACCGGGACAUUUAAAAUAGUGAUUGAGACAGAUCUUAUUUCAUGGAAAAACAAUCGAAACCAUGUAAACAUACCCGGAUGACAG